AAUAAGCGGAGGAAAAGAAACCAACCGGGAUUACCUCAGUAACGGCGAGUGAAGCGGUAAAAGCUCAAAUUUGGAAUCCUCAGGAGUUGUAAUUUGACGGAGUUGGAUUUUGGAAUAUCAUCAUACAAGUCUAUUGGAAAAUAGCGCCAGAGAGGGUGAUAGCCCCGUUACGAUGAUCCAUAUAGAAAUUCAGCUCUCAAGAGUCGGGUUGUUUGGGAAUGCAGCUCAAAGUGGGUGGUAAAUUCCAUCUAAGGCUAAAUAUUGGCGAGAGACCGAUAGCGAACAAGUACAGUGAUGGAAAGAUGAAAAGCACUUUGAAAAGAGAGUGAAAUAGUACGUGAAAUUGUUGAAAGGGAAGGGCUUGCAGGUGAUAAUAGUUUCUUUUUAACUCAAUGGUGGGGGUAAUAAAGUGAGGUCUCGGCAAUGCUAGGAGACCUCAAGAUAUACGUCCGGGUGAAAAGUUAAACCUUACGGCUGCAAGUCGCCCGUCUUGAAACACGGACCA
rnacentral:rRNA from 1 species